rnacentral:rRNA from 1 species
UACGAAGGGGGCUAGCGUUGCUCGGAAUCACUGGGCGUAAAGGGCGCGUAGGCGGCCAGAUUAGUCAGGCGUGAAAGCCCUGGGCUCAACCUGGGGACUGCGCUUGAGACGGUAUGGCUUGAGGGUGGAAGAGGCUCGCGGAAUUCCCAGUGUAGAGGUGAAAUUCGUAGAUAUUGGGAAGAACACCGGUGGCGAAGGCGGCGAGCUGGGACGGUACUGACGCUGAGACGCGAAAGCGUGGGGAGCGAACAGG